UCCAGGAGCCACAACACCACAACCACGAAUAACUUGCCCGUCUUACAAUAACAAAUCACAGCAGGAAAUCACACAGCUCAAAUCAGAAGCGAAUAAACAAACUAACGAAAUAAUAGAGCUUAAAAUUAAACUAAAUAAAUCCCUAUCGAAUAACAAGAAUUUAGCCAAUUCAACGGAUGAAAACUUUAAAAAAUAUCAAAACGCUCAAAUAAGUUUAGAAUCGUGUCAAGGGAAUUUGGAAUCACUAAAAAAUGAGUCUAUUAAAAACAUUUUGACUGUUCAAAAUUUGAUAUUGAAAGCUGAAAAUAAUCAGAAAUUGUUGGAUGAAUGCCAAAACAACAACACGGACAUUGUAGAACAAGAAAAGCAAUCAAUCCAUCAGCAGCUAAAUAUAUGUCAAAAUGACUUGAAAAUACAAAAAGCGGAUUGCUCUAAUAAGGAUUCAACUAUUAGAGAAUGGCGUAAAAAAGCUGAU